GGGCUCGUGGUUUAGUGGUUAUAACGCCGCCCUUACACGGCGGAUGUCUCCAGUUCGAAACUAGCAGCAAACACCAUUAAGAGCUGUUAAGCGAGCAUCUGGGCGGGCCCA
rnacentral:tRNA from 1 species